rnacentral:rRNA from 1 species
GAAUAUUGGUCAAUAGCCUAACGGCUGAACCAGCAACUUGGAGGAAUGUAUAGCAAUAACUAGUUGCACCAACACUUGGUUGGUGCAAGAUCGACUCUGUUGAAUAAAAUUCUAGGUAGAAUUAUGAUAAUGACAUUGUCUGCCUAUAUGUCUUGACCAAAUUACGUGCCAGCAGUCGCGGUAAUACGUAGAAGACUAGUGUUAUUCAUCUUUAAUUGGUUUAAAGGGUACCUAGACGGUAAAUCAAGCCUGCAAGGGGACUAAUCUACUAGAGUUACUUGUGAGGGGGUAUUAAAGUACUAGUGGUGUAGAGAUAAAAUUCGUUGAUACCUUUUUCUAAAAAAACUAUGGCACAGGUAUAGGUGAAAGCAUCCCCUUAUGUGAUAACUGACGUUGAAGGACGAAGGCUUUGUGUCGCGAACAGGAUUAGAUACCCCAGUAGUCAAAGCAGAAAAUGAUGAAUGUCAUAUAUUAGACAUGUAAUAGUUUAUUAUAUAAAUGAAAGUGUAAGCAUUCCACCUCAAGAGUAAUUUGGCAACAUUGGAACUGAAAUCAUUAGACCGUUUCUGAAACCAGUAGUGAAGUAUGUUGUUUAAUUUGAUAACCCGCAAAAAACCUUACCACAAUUUGAAUAUUUAUAUCUUUUUUAUUUUUAGUUUUUAAUAAUCUUUUUAUACAUAAAAAAACAGAAAGAUAAGAAAAAUAUUUUUACAAGCGUUGCACGGCUGUCUUCAGUUAAUGUCGUGAGACUCUGGUUAGUUCCAUUAAAUUAACGUAAACCCUUACUUUAUUUUUAUAUAAAGUUGUUCUCCGCUAUAUUGGAUAAGAUAACAGGGACUAAGACAAGUCAUCAUGGCCUUAAUAUUGUGGGCUAUAGCGU